rnacentral:rRNA from 1 species
CGGAGGGGAGUACGACCUAGUAGAACGGUGAUUAAUACCCCAUAGGACCACAAUACCGCAUGGUAAAAGGGUAAAAAGGGGAUACCGGUGUAAGAUGGGCUCGCGUCUGAUUAGCUAGUUGGUGGGGUAAAGGCCUACCAAGGCGACGAUCAGUAGCCGGUCUGAGAGUAUGAACGGCCACAUUGGAACUGAGACACGGUCCAAACUCCUACGGGAGGCAGCAGCG